rnacentral:rRNA from 1 species
GACGUAGGGUGCGAGCGUUGUCCGGAUUUAUUGGGCGUAAAGAGCUCGUAGGCGGCUCGUCGCGUCAGCUGUGAAAACCCGCGGCUCAACCGCGGGCCUGCAGCCGAUACGGGCAGGCUAGAGUUCGGUAGGGGAGACUGGAAUUCCAGGUGUAGCGGUGAAAUGCGUAGAUAUCUGGAGGAACACCGGUGGCGAAGGCGGCAUCCUGGACCAACACUGACACUGAGGAGCGAAAGCCAGGGGAGCAAACGGG